rnacentral:misc_RNA from 1 species
GUAGGUGAACCUGCGGAAGGAUCAUUAACACGAAUUUUAUCCAAUACUAAACCAAACGUGAACUUUUCCCCUCCCUAUUCUUUUGAAUAGGCUAACCUUUUUUACUCUAUAUAUAAUAACGAUUCUUCGCUAUUGUAUAUAUAGUUUUUAACUCCUAAAACUUAACUCUAGUUUGUCGAGGUCUCCUCUUCAACUACUAACACUAAAAAAUGUCAUUUCUCUUAAUUGAGUGUGGCUUUUUUCGAUAUAC